CCGAGUUUACAACUCCCAAACCCCCGUGAACAUACCUAUAUGUUGCCUCGGCGGAUCAGCCCGCGCCCCGUAAAACGGGACGGCCCGCCGCAGGAUCCACAAACUCUGUUUUUAUUGUAACUUCUGAGUAACAAAACAAAUAAAUCA
rnacentral:misc_RNA from 1 species